AUUGAACGCUGGCGGCAGGUUUAACACAUGCAAGUCGAGCGGAGAUGAGGUGCUUGCACCUUAUCUUAGCGGCGGACGGGUGAGUAAUGCUUAGGAAUCUGCCUAUUAGUGGGGGACAACAUUCCGAAAGGAAUGCUAAUACCGCAUACGUCCUACGGGAGAAAGCAGGGGAUCUUCGGACCUUGCGCUAAUAGAUGAGCCUAAGUCGGAUUAGCUAGUUGGUGGGGUAAAGGCCUACCAAGGCGACGAUCUGUAGCGGGUCUGAGAGGAUGAUCCGCCACACUGGGACGGGGACACGGCCCAGACUCCUACGGGAGGCAGCAGUGGGGAAUAUUGGACAAUGGGGGGAACCCUGAUCCAGCCAUGCCGCGUGUGUGAAGAAGGCCUUAUGGUUGUAAAGCACUUUAAGCGAGGAGGAGGCUCUUUUGGUUAAUACCCAAGAUGAGUGGACGUUACUCGCAGAAUAAGCACCGGCUAACUCUGUGCCAGCAGCCGCCGUAAGAC
rnacentral:rRNA from 1 species